rnacentral:rRNA from 1 species
CAGAUUGAACGCUGGCGGCAGGCCUAACACAUGCAAGUCGAACGGUAACAGGAAACAGCUUGCUGUUUCGCUGACGAGUGGCGGACGGGUGAGUAAUGUCUGGGAAACUGCCUGAUGGAGGGGGAUAACUACUGGAAACGGUAGCUAAUACCGCAUAACGUCGCAAGACCAAAGAGGGGGACCUUCGGGCCUCUUGCCAUCAGAUGUGCCCAGAUGGGAUUAGCUAGUAGGUGGGGUAACGGCUCACCUAGGCGACGAUCCCUAGCUGGUCUGAGAGGAUGACCAGCCACACUGGAACUGAGACACGGUCCAGACUCCUACGGGAGGCAGCAGUGGGGAAUAUUGCACAAUGGGCGCAAGCCUGAUGCAGCCAUGCCGCGUGUAUGAAGAAGGCCUUCGGGUUGUAAAGUACUUUCAGCGGGGAGGAAGGGAGUAAAGUUAAUACCUUUGCUCAUUGACGUUACCCGCAGAAGAAGCACCGGCUAACUCCGUGCCAGCAGCCGCGGUAAUACGGAGGGUGCAAGCGUUAAUCGGAAUUACUGGGCGUAAAGCGCACGCAGGCGGUUUGUUAAGUCAGAUGUGAAAUCCCCGGGCUCAACCUGGGAACUGCAUCUGAUACUGGCAAGCUUGAGUCUCGUAGAGGGGGGUAGAAUCCCAGGUGUAGCGGUGAAAUGCGUAGAGACCUGGAGGAAUACCGGUGGCGAAGGCGGCCCCCUGGACGAAGACUGACGCUCAGGUGCGAAAGCGUGGGGAGCAAACAGGAUUAGAUACCCUGGUAGUCCACGCCGUAAACGAUGUCGACUUGGAGGUUGUGCCCUUGAGGCGUGGCUUCCGGAGCUAACGCGUUAAGUCGACCGCCUGGGGAGUACGGCCGCAAGGUUAGAACUCAAAUGAAUUGACGGGGGCCCGCACAAGCGGUGGAGCAUGUGGUUUAAUUCGAUGCAACGCGAGGAACCUUACCUGGUCUUGACAUCCACGGAAGUUUUCAGAGAUGAGAAUGUGCCUUCGGGAACCGUGAGACAGGUGCUGCAUGGCUGUCGUCAGCUCGUGUUGUGAAAUGUUGGGUUAGGUCCCGCAACGAGCGCAACCCUUAUCCUUUGUUGCCAGCGGUCCGGCCGGGAACUCAAAGGAGACUGCCAGUGAUAAACUGGAGGAAGGUGGGGAUGACGUCAAGUCAUCAUGCCCCUUACGACCAGGGCUACACACGUGCUACAAUGGCGCAUACAAAGAGAAGCGACCUCGCGAGAGCAAGCGGACCUCAUAAAGUGCGUCGUAGUCCGGAUUGGAGUCUGCAACUCGACUCCAUGAAGUCGGAAUCGCUAGUAAUCGUGGAUCAGAAUGCCACGGUGAAUACGUUCCCGGGCCUUGUACACACCGCCCGUCACACCAUGGGAGUGGGUUGCAAAAGAAGUAGGUAGCUUAACCUUCGGGAGGGCGCUUACCACUUUGUGAUUCAUGACUGGGGUGAAGUCGUAACAAGGUAACCGUA